GGGUCAAUAGCCUAGCGGCGAAGGCAGCAGACUGUAAAUCUGCCACGUUAGAUACACCAAAGGUUCGAGUCCUUUUUGGCCCA
rnacentral:tRNA from 1 species